GCUGGGGUAGCAAAGCGGUUACUGCGGCAGAUUUAGGAUCUGUUAUUAAAGGUUUCGAAUCCUUUCCUUAGUU
rnacentral:tRNA from 1 species